UACGUAGGGUCCAAGCGUUAUCCGGAAUCACUGGGCGUAAAGCGUGCGUAGGUGGCGUGUUAAGUGUGAUGUUAAAUCGUGGGGCUCAACCCUAUCGAUGCAUCGCAUACUGGCAUGCUAGAGGGAAGCAGAGGCAAGUGGAAUUUGUAGUGUAGCAGUGAAAUGCGUAGAUAUUACAAGGAACACCAAUGGCGAAGGCAGCUUGCUGGGCUUCUUCUGACACUGAGGUACGAAGGCCAGGGGAGCAAACAGG
rnacentral:rRNA from 1 species